AAUAUUGCGCAAUGGAGGAAACUCUGACGCAGCGACGCCGCGUGAGCGAUGAAGGUCUUCGGAUCGUAAAGCUCUGUCCUUGGGGAAGAAGAUCGAAAGAUUUGACGGUACCCGAGGAGGAAGCCCCGGCUAACUACGUGCCAGCAGCCGCGGUAAUACGUAGGGGGCAAGCGUUGUCCGGAAUUAUUGGGCGUAAAGGGUGCGUAGGCGGCCUUUUAAGUCAGAUGUGAAAGGCUACGGCUUAACCGUAGUUAGCAUUUGAAACUAAAAGGCUUGAGUGCAGGAGAGGAGAGUGGAAUUCCUAGUGUAGCGGUGAGAUGCGUAGAUAUUAGGAGGAACACCAGUGGCGAAGGCGACUCUCUGGACUGCAACUGACGCUGAGGCACGAAAGCGUGGGGAGCGAACAG
rnacentral:rRNA from 1 species